GUGGGGAAUCUUCCGCAAUGGACGAAAGUCUGACGGAGCAACGCCGCGUGAGUGAUGAAGGUCUUCGGAUUGUAAAGCUCUGUUAAUCGGGACGAAAGAGCCUAGUGUGAAUAAUGCUAGGAAGUGACGGUACCGGAAUAGAAAGCCACGGCUAACUACGUGCCAGCAGCCGCGGUAAUACGUAGGUGGCAAGCGUUGUCCGGAAUUAUUGGGCGUAAAGCGCGCGCAGGCGGAUCCGCCAGACUGUCUUAAAAGUUCGGGGCUUAACCCCGUGAUGGGAUGGAAACUACAGAUCUAGAGUAUCGGAGAGGAAAGUGGAAUUCCUAGUGUAGCGGUGAAAUGCGUAGAUAUUAGGAAGAACACCAGUGGCGAAGGCGACUUUCUGGACGAAAACUGACGCUGAGGCGCGAAAGCCAGGGGAGCGAACGGGAUUAGAUACCCUUGUAGUCC
rnacentral:rRNA from 1 species